rnacentral:lncRNA from 1 species
CUCUCAUAUACACGCAAUCUGGAGGCAAGUGGGCUUCUUCUUUGGCGCUCAGAAAGCUGUCACCUCUUGUAAUUCGAGUACAUUAUUACGGGGGGACGGCCUCAUCGCCGUAUGAAUCCAAAACCCCAGACAACUCAUAAGAAAAUUAAAAUCAGGGCCUUGCAGUGACGGGGACCAUUGAGCCUCGGUUCCCUUCAGGGAUGGCAUCUUCACUAAAAAUCGGCUU